AAUCAAGAAACAGACGAAGACUCUGGCGAUGAGGAAAGACAUAUAUUACCAGAAAUUAAUUCUGACACCGAAGAAGACUCAUCGGAUGAUUCCGAUUACGAGCCUUAGUUUUAAUUUAGAAGACGUAAUCCAUUAAUUUGUAUAACUAAAGACCUUUUCUUUUAUACUUUACAUAUGUUGAAUUCAUAUUUCAGUUAUUUUAUAUAAAUUUUGGUGAUAAAUGAUGAACAGGAAGUUAGUAUGGUUUACUAAUAUCGUCUGUUUUUUUUAAUGUAUUUUUUCUUUAAGCCGACGAAAUACACCAUAAUUCGUCGGCUAAAACCAUCUUAGCCGACGAAUUAUAGUGUAUUUCGUCGGCUAAUAUGGUUUUAACCGACGAAUAACCUAAUAUUUCGUCGGCUUUAGUUAUUUUUAAUUUUUUAAUUACAUACUAUAGCCGACGAAUACGUUAGGGUAUUCGUCGGCUAAACCCUAAAAUUUUUCUAUUACCUACUAUAGCCCUAUCUUCGGUGGUUAUUUUCCGUAAAAUUUUUAGACGACUUCUUACGUCUCAUUGGUUUGAAACUAUUUUCAGUUGGAGGUCCGGCUAAAAUACGUAAUUUAGACGGUCGAACGACAUUUUCCGUGCGUUUAGGGGUUUGACUUACGAGAUUGACCGUCCGGAUCGAGCCCUUAUUCUUUUCGGAUCAAGUUGAAUUUUUUCCCAUACAUGUAUUUUGUCAUGAUGGUCAGAUCUGACGGUCGGAUUUCUGUUUCUCAAGUUUGAUCAUCACAAUCACAACAUGCAUACUAAUGUUGUAUAACUUGUUUACCAAGUGUUAUGUAAAUGUUCCGUUUCAAAAACAAACUAUACGUAAAACCUUCAAACGCCAAAAAGUCAUGAAAUAAGAUAUGACGAGAAUGUUGAAAUACAUCCACGGUUGAAAAAUCACACUAUUCCGGUAAAUAUUCGGUGCCGAUAGUUGCAGUCAAUGCAAUUUUUCAUUCUUCCCCUUAUGAGUAGCCCUAUAU
rnacentral:lncRNA from 1 species